rnacentral:rRNA from 1 species
UACGGAGGGGGUUAGCGUUGUUCGGAAUUACUGGGCGUAAAGCGCGCGUAGGCGGACCAGAAAGUUGGGGGUGAAAUCCCGGGGCUCAACCCCGGAACGGCAUCCAAAACUCCUGGUCUUGAGUUCGAGAGAGGUGAGUGGAAUCCCGAGUGUAGAGGUGAAAUUCGUAGAUAUUCGGAGGAACACCAGUGGCGAAGGCGGCUCACUGGCUCGAUACUGACGCUGAGGUGCGAAAGUGUGGGGAGCAAACAGG